ACGUUAAAACAAACAAGGAAAAAAAAAAAAAUUCACUCGGUGUUGUCUGCAAACUUGCUGCACGUAACAGCGCUGUUUAAUCAGACAGGUCAUAGCUAGAGUCUGGUUUAUUGCAGCAUGAUUUCAUCUUCAAACUAUUCCAAUAUCCACUUGUGUACAGUAGGUUACCCAUUUAUAGGUUUCUAAUAAAAGCAAAUCUUCCUUAAGUGGCUAUUACUGGAUUUCUCCUUCCAGCCUAGGGAUAAGCAGGAUUCUGGGCUUUAAAAAGAUCUCUAGUGGGCUGAAUAAGAAAGUGACAACUGAAGAAUGUCAUGGCAAAACUUCGAUAUGUUCUAAUUACAGCACCGUUAAUGAGAAGAACAUUUGUCAGAUCAGAGCAUUCAUCACGUUCAGCAGAGACACGCUGAAAUCAUCUAUUCACGUAGAGUCUGAAAACGUUCUACUCGUGUCUCGUUCGAUGCCACAGAAGGUAGUGUCUGGCAAUACAAGGGAAGGAAGAGAUCUGUCUGAACCAGUCACUCCCGCAGACUGAAGAGCGCUGCUCCUUCUGUUGCCAGAGUCCUCAAACAAUUGCUCCACUUUGACCUGACUUCCACUCAGAGGGUGAUCCUUCAUUGCGAGUUUGUUGCUAGAAACCUACAGAUGGAGGGGG